rnacentral:rRNA from 1 species
UCUGGUCUUGGGACACUGUCAGGUGGGCAGUUUGACUGGGGCGGUCGCCUCCCAAAAGGUAACGGAGGCGCUCAAAGGUUCUCUCAGUACGGUCGGAAAUCGUACGUAGAGUGUAAAGGCAAAAGAGAGCUUGAUUGCAAGACAUACAGGUCGAGCAAGGAUGAAAAUCGGACUUAGUGAUCCGGUGGUUCUGCGUGGAAGGGCCAUCGCUCAACGGAUAAAAGCUACCCUGGGGAUAACAGGCUUAGCUCCCCCAAGAGUCCACAUCGACGGGGAGGUUUGGCACCUCGAUGUCGGCUCAUCACAUCCUGGGGCUGUAGUAGGUCCCAAGGGUUGGGCUGUUCGCCCAUUAAAGUGGUACGCGAGCUGGGUUCAGAACGUCGUGAGACAGUUCGGUACCUAUCCGUCGCAGGCGUAGGAAAUUUGAGAAGACCUGUCCUUAGUACGAGAGGACCGGGAUGGACGUACCUCUGGUGUACCAGUUGU